CCCUUAGAUGUUCUGGGCCGCACGCGUGCUACACUGAGUGGAUCAGCGGGUCAGGUUGCGCGAAAGUGUUUCCUAAUCUUGAAAUCCGCUCGUGAUGGGGAUUGACGGUUGCAAUUUUCCGUCAUGAACAAGGAAUACCUUGUAAGCGCGGGUCAUCAUCCCGCGCUGAAUACGUCCCUGCCCUUUGUACACACCGCCCGUCGCUCCUACCGAUUGAGUGGUCCGGUGAGGCUUUGGGAUCUGAGCGGAAAGAGCGUUUCGCUGUUUCUGCUCGGAAAACUCAGUCGAACCUUAUCAUUUAGAGGAAGGAGAAGUCGUAACA
rnacentral:rRNA from 1 species